UACAGGGGGUGCAAACGUUGCUCGGAAUUAUUGGGCGUAAAGCGCGCGCAGGCGGUCCUUUAAGUCUGAUGUGAAAGCCCACGGCUCAACCGUGGAAGGUCAUUGGAAACUGGAGGACUUGAGUACAGAAGAGGAAAGCGGAAUUCCACGUGUAGCGGUGAAAUGCGUAGAGAUGUGGAGGAACACCAGUGGCGAAGGCGGCUUUCUGGUCUGUAACUGACGCUGAGGCGCGAAAGCGUGGGGAGCAAACAGG
rnacentral:rRNA from 1 species